rnacentral:sRNA from 1 species
UAGUAGUUCGAUGGAUUGAAAGAUGAAGAACGAGAGGCAGGGCACAAGCCUGAUAAAAGGAAGACGAAUAUGGUGGAAGGAUAAUAACCCAUGGAGGUCGAGAGGUUCGACCUUAUCCUCGAAACGGCAAGAGAGGAGAUAGUGUUACCGCAAGGUAAGGCGUCAUGAAUGCGUAGGCAGCUCGUUUGUAACUCCCGGGAAUGAGUACAUUCCUUGUGUACGGGGCGAAGAGGGACUUGAAACAGUUGACGUACACCAUACA